rnacentral:rRNA from 1 species
UAAUACAGAGGGUGCGAGCGUUGUUCGGAAUUACUGGGCGUAAAGCGCGCGCAGGCGGAUGAUGCAAGUCUGGAGUGAAAUCUCGCCGCUCAACGGCGAGGCUGCUACGGAUACUGUACGUCUGGGGACUGGUAGAGGCUGGUAGAAUUCCCGGUGUAGCGGUGGAAUGCGUAGAGAUCGGGAAGAAUACCCGUGGCGAAGGCGGCCAGCUGGGCCAGAUCCGACGCUGAGGCGCGAAAGCGUGGGGAGCAAACAGGAUUAGAUACCCUGGUAGUCCACGCUGUAAACGAUGGGCACUAGGUGCCGGGGGGAGCGACCCCUUCGGUGCCGCAGCUAACGCGAUAAGUGCCCCGCCUGGGGAGUACGGCCGCAAGGCUG